GGUAUCGCUGAUUGUGAACGCAAAUAAAUAGAGACAGAUAGAUGGCUUUACUUUAAGUGCUUUGUGCUUCGUUGAUCUGCAGUUCCGUGCGUGCGCGUCCAUGUGUGCGCUUGGAGGAACCGCCGAGUUUGGCGGGAGAGCAGUCCCCGAGGAGGCCGGUGGGACGAGGGGGCCCCGGACAUCUGGCUGCCGCUCCCUCCGUUACGCCGGAUGCUUCCGCUCUGCCCCGUCGGCCGGAGCUCUCCCAGACAGACUCGCUCUAAUCGCCCCGUUCUCAGGCCUUCGCCGGAUCGCUGUUACACGCACGCUGGGAACACGCCACGCCGAAGGCGCACGGAGCUUGGGGACUCGCGAGCGUGCGUACGUGACGUGCGCGACGUGUGGCGUGGCGACAUCGCCGGCUCUCUAGGCGGUUUGAUCUCCGAACGCCGAGCAGGUGUUUAAUAGGAUUCACGGGACUGUACGGAAUACCGUUCAAAAGUAUGAGUACACCUGGGCUACCUGGACAGUAUCUGAGUGAGGUGAACUGGAGAAAAAAAGUGAAAAGAGCAAUGUACAGGUGUCCUACAUCGCUGGGAAUUGUUCACCAAAUGCCUCAUCAACAACUAUUCAUAGAUAUAUAUAUAUAGAGUAUAGAAGGGGGGCAUGAUUUCAGGGUUUGACCGGGUUCUGCUUUCCGGUGGGUCUGGGGUUCGA